rnacentral:tRNA from 1 species
AAUCCGCUCGACGUUAAAAGUCGUGAGGGUUCAAGUCCCUCUAUCCCCA